rnacentral:tRNA from 1 species
GCCGGGGUGGCGGAAUGGCAGACGCGCUGGACUUAAAAUCCAGUAUCUGAAUAAGGUGUGUGGGUUCGACUCCCACCCUCGGCACUA